AUGCAGCAGGAGGGGGCUACCCAGCGCAGAGCACCGCGUUGCAGAAACGUGCACCAUCCCGCUACAAGCGGCGUGCAGGAAUGCUUUGAAGUGGCUCGAACCAGAGGAGAAAGCAUGAGCAAGAGGGAUGGAGAGAGAGAAAGAGAGACACAGAGACAGAGAGAGAGAGGGAAGAAGUUAUCAUCUGCAUUGCCCAAAGGCGGUGGGAAGCCAAGGAUGCUCCUGCAGGUAAGUCUCCUCCUGGGGGGCACUGCAGGCUCGAAGCCCCCCUCAGACGGGACCCUGAGGGUCUGGUUUAGGCCGGCAACGGGAGCAGMUUUCUCCGGCCACAGUUUCGCUCCACCCUGGCUCGAGCGUUUCCUCUCUUCCUUGUGGUUUUCUSUCCAGCACCGAUGCCCGGCGGGGAACGCCCGGGAGCGGAGGGCCUCGUGCCCCUCAGGCUGCCGUGCCCGCGCCGGCCCAGCGCGGAGGCGAGAAGGGGUGACAACCACUGCGUUAGACGGGGCUGCAGCACCCUGGAUGCUUUCACAGUGGUUUUGCCCCCCCAGCCUCAAGCACUCUCUCCGGGAUCCUCGCUGUCCUCUUCGAGCACRCCGAGAUCAAGACCCCUGGGAAAAGCCACACUGCCUGUCCCACCUCCCUGCUUUCGGAAGUAAAUGGUUACCGUCGCGGCCAUCCUGCAAAUGCUAUGAGAGCCGCUCGCCGAAGCCUCGACACCCGCCUAGCCAACACACCCAGGAGCCGUUUUUGGAACCGCGCGGCCAUGCACCAUUAGCCAGGAUUUGCAAGGAAGCAGGGGAAUUAAAUGGAGUUAUUCAUUGCUCUUUUUAUCGCCCGCGGUCCCCUCCCCGCCGCCCCAACACCCACACACUYGGCCGGCAAGGUAAAGCACAAGCCGCGCUGCCUGCCCGAGCUCCAGCGUCACACAACCUACAGCCGCGAGACCCCGUCCUGCAGCUUCUGCCCGGCCAAAGAGGCAUUUGGGGAGGGCAGAAGAAGGGGAAGACGCUUUGGCAGGCAGAGAAAGCGCAGCCACAACACGCAGUCACACRAACUGAGGAGCCAACCUUCAGAAGAGAAAUGCAUCUCCAUGCCAAGAGCUCGGCUAUUUUCCUCUCUCUUCCCGGCUCGGAGCGCUGA
rnacentral:lncRNA from 1 species